UACGGAGGGUCCGAGCGUUAUCCGGAAUUAUUGGGUUUAAAGGGUCCGUAGGCGGAUCAUUAAGUCAGGGGUGAAAUGGUGCGGCUCAACCGUAGCACUGCCUUUGAUACUGGUGGUCUUGAGUUAUGGUGAAGUGGCCGGAAUAUGUAGUGUAGCGGUGAAAUGCAUAGAUAUUACAUAGAACACCGAUUGCGAAGGCAGGUCACUAACCAUAUACUGACGCUGAUGGACGAAAGCGUGGGGAGCGAACAGG
rnacentral:rRNA from 1 species